UCGCUUGCUUAGUAUUAAAGUGACCGAAUUCAAAAUCAAUCAAUCAUGAGUUAGAUACACUGUCAUCUUUAAAACAACGCCAUCUGUGACAAACUCCAAGAAACUCUUAAAAAGUUAGAGUUAUACUGCUCUUACAAUGUUUCGGUCUCUUUCACACUUAUGAAUUUGAAGACGCCAUUUUGACAUUACACUGACACAUUCAGUAAUCGUUUAACCGGCUCAAAACGAACAUCUGGUCGUUUGUCAUAAAAGUGACCUAUUAAUAUUUAGGAUUGUGUAACAGUGAAAUCGAAGGAUGACGUCGUCUACUUCGCGAUCAAGAAAAAUUCUAGAUUUAAUUCAAAUUGAAGAUAACAUUAUUCCAACUCAAAAUGUUGAUGUUCAGACGAUUUGUUGUGAUGCAACUAAAGAGCCCGAAAAUGUUACGAAUAUUAUUCCAACUCAAAGUGCUGAUGUCCAGACGAUGAUAUGUGACGCAUCUAAAGAGCCCGAAAAUGAUACUGAUAUUGUUUCAACUCAAAGUGGUGAUGUCCAGAUGUUAUGUGAUGUUUAUAAUAAACCCGAAAAUCAACGACAUUUGAAUGCCUCUGAGUAUUUCAAACAUACUGAAGGCCGUAACAAGGCAGUUAUAGAUUAUCGUGUGUCACCUGUUAAUUCUGGAGAAAGCGACGCAGAUUUAAGUGAUGGCGAUCCUACUUUCGAAACCGUACAAAAGGGCCAACAGGGUAGUCAUUUGCUAUUUCCCCGUACCCGUAGUUCAAGUUCGAGUAGUAGUUCUUCUUCAACUUCAGACUCAAGUUCAUCAUCUGAUAGCUCUAACGAAGAGACUUUGGAAGAACAGUUAAAUGCCAAUAACACAGAAAAUAGAACACCUGAGCCAACAAGAGAGUUAGACGGAGGAACAAUGGAGAAUCAAGAUAAUUUAACAGAAGACACAACUUCCGGAACACCUACAGUUUCUACUAAGCCAAAAGGUAAAAAACGCACUAGACAACCGGAAAACUGGAAGCAAACUAGAGCAAAAAUUGAGAAAUUGUGGUAAGUCAUAUAUUAAUAGUAAAAUAUUAUAACUAAAGCUCGUGAACUUAAACCACCAUGUAAUGACCAGUGCAGGCUGCAAUGUUCUAGCAAGAUUGAUUCUGUUCAAAGGCAAAGUAUUUUCGACGCAUACUGGGAACUUGGAGAUAUUCAUAAUCAGCGAUCUUUCAUUUUGUCGUGUUUAUCUGAUAUCACACCCAGAUAUAAAUAUACCAAUGCAUUGACCCCACGGCAUUGUAACAAAGCUUUCCAUUUUGUUGUUGCUGGUAAUUCGAUCAGAGUUUGUAAAACCUUUUUUACUAAUACUUUGAACAUAUCCGAUCGUAUGAUUCGUACUGUUAAACAUAAGACUGAUAAACAUGGAAUUUUGAAGACGGAUUGUAGAGGAAUAACCGGUAAUCAUAAAUCAGAUGAAGUAUUAAUUUCUGACAUCAAAGAAUUUAUCAAUUCUAUUCCAAGAACUGAUUCUCAUUACACACGACAAUCAUCGACCCGUGAAUACAUAGACGGUGGAAAAACGAUAGUAGAUCUCUUUAAAGACUUUGAAGAAGUCCAAAAACAAAAAAAUAAGCCAGCAGGAAAAUUCUACAGAGGAACAAAUCGCUAAUAAAUCUUAUACACUUUUCGUGUCAACCCUAGACAACGCGGAAUCCUGUAAGAAUGGUCAUGUGUGCAUGGAGCGAGCUGCCGGAUAG